GAGCCCGCGACCUAAAUACGGUUAAAGAUGUCUGAUUGGUAAUCAGCUGAUCAUGAGUUCAAAUCUCAUCGGAUCCA
rfam:Candidatus Bathyarchaeota archaeon RBG_13_60_20 RBG_13_scaffold_3759, whole genome shotgun sequence.